rnacentral:rRNA from 1 species
GACGAACGCUGGCGGCGUGCCUAAUACAUGCAAGUUGAGCGCUGAAGGUUGGUACUUGUACCAACUGGAUGAGCAGCGAACGGGUGAGUAACGCGUGGGGAAUCUGCCUUUGAGCGGGGGACAACAUUUGGAAACGAAUGCUAAUACCGCAUAAAAACUUUAAACACAAGUUUUAAGUUUGAAAGAUGCAAUUGCAUCACUCAAAGAUGAUCCCGCGUUGUAUUAGCUAGUUGGUGAGGUAAAGGCUCACCAAGGCGAUGAUACAUAGCCGACCUGAGAGGGUGAUAGGCCACAUUGGGACUGAGACAAGGCCCAAACUCCUACGGGAGGGAGCAGUAGGGAAUCUUCGGAAAUGGACGAAAGUCUGACCGAGCAACGCCGCGGGAGUGAAGAAGGGUGUCGGAUCGUAAAACUCUGUUGGUAGAGAAGAACGUUGGUGAGAGUGGAAAGCUCAUCAAGUGACGGUAACUACCGAGAAAGGGACGGCUAACUACGUG